ensembl:lncRNA
GUCUGAUGUUGCUCACAGUGGUCCAAGGGACGCUCAGGGAGUUUGUGUGUUUGCUCAGACUCAGGAAAAAUUACAGGGAACAUUGCCUGUGGCAGCAACUAACACAGGUGUUCAGCGCAUUUACAAUGUUGGGAAGGAGGAGGAGGAGGAGGAAGAGGAGAGAAUGGAGGUCUCCUGCUGUCCUGGUACCCCAGCGAGAGGUAGAGGGACAGACCGGCCUCCAGCCAGGAGACGCUGCAGCAGCCGCUCCACCAGCGAGCGCUCCGGGCCAGAGGCACUCCCUACAGCUGGCUGGAAAACUGAGAAGGAACCUGACAGCUUACCUUCUCUGCC